UACGGGGGGGGCAAGCGUUGUUCGGAAUUACUGGGCGUAAAGGGCUCGUAGGUGGCCAACUAAGUCAGACGUGAAAUCCCUCGGCUUAACCGAGGAACUGCGUCUGAUACUGGAUGGCUUGAGUUUGGGAGAGGGAUGCGGAAUUCCAGGUGUAGCGGUGAAAUGCGUAGAUAUCUGGAGGAAUACCGGUGGCGAAGGCGGCAUCCUGGACCGACACUGACACUGAGGAGCGAAAGCCAGGGGAGCAAACGGG
rnacentral:rRNA from 1 species